rnacentral:rRNA from 1 species
GAUGAACGCUGGCGGCGUGCCUAACACAUGCAAGUCGAACGGAGUCGUUUUGGAAAAUCCUUCGGGAUUGGAAUUCUCGACUUAGUGGCGGACGGGUGAGUAACGCGUGAGCAAUCUGCCUUUAAGAGGGGGAUAACAGUCGGAAACGGCUGCUAAUACCGCAUAAAGCAUUGAAUUCGCAUGUUUUCGAUGCCAAAGGAGCAAUCCGCUUUUAGAUGAGCUCGCGUCUGAUUAGCUAGUUGGCGGGGUAACGGCCCACCAAGGCGACGAUCAGUAGCCGGACUGAGAGGUUGAACGGCCACAUUGGGACUGAGACACGGCCCAGACUCCUACGGGAGGCAGCAGUGGGGAAUAUUGCGCAAUGGGGGAAACCCUGACGCAGCAACGCCGCGUGAUUGAAGAAGGCCUUCGGGUUGUAAAGAUCUU